GGAUGUGAGGAUCUGGCUGCGACAUCUGUCACCCCAUUGAUCGCCAGGGUUGAUUCGGCUGAUCUGGCUGGCUAGGCGGGUGUCCCCUUCCUCCCUUACCGCUCCAUGUGUGUCCCUCCGGAAGCUGAGCACUAGGUCGAAGAGAGACGGACAGGGCUUCGGUCGAGGGUAUAGGAGUAGCUGUGCUCCCCUGCUAGAACCACCAAACAAGCUCUCAAGGUCAUGCAGUGCAGGUUUGCAACAAAAAGAUUCUGGCUUCUGUGGCCUGCGGGAAGCCACUCCAU
ensembl:misc_RNA 7SK 7SK RNA